AGCCUAAUUGCAGUCCUCGCAAUUUUGGGCGGACAGCCUAACGACAUAAAUAUUUCCUGUCCAAGUUAUCUUUUCCUUCAGACGGCUGCUUUGAACUGAUGAUGAAGGUCUCCGCAUAGUAACUGACUAAAUCUUUUUCUGACAUAAAGUACGAGCCAAGGGGUUGCCAAAUAUAGUCUGUUUACUGCAGGACGUGGACUUGUGGUAACUAUCUGAUUGUAUGUGGACCAUUUCCCUCGGCUAUAGAUUGGUGUCCGGCUAUCCGAUGCUGCAGCCCAUCCUCACUCCGGGACGAUAGGUUAAUUAACUGAUGACUACCGAGCGCUCUGACGUCCGACCUCCCCAUGAUGUCGAACUGGGGAUUUGCGUGCUAUGGCUGAAGAUGUCUCUGGACUCUGAUAAGGUGUGUGGGCUGCUGUCCCGGGACUCCAGGACCUCCUGUGUCUUCCAGGCUGCAGACGAGAAGGAUGACAUACCAGGGGUGGGGGAGGACAGUGUUUUGGAGAUGCUGAGCUAUUCUAAGUUCUCUGACCUGGAGACAUGGCUGUGCAUGCCCUCCACGCUGCUCCCCAGGGCCCUAGAGUCCACCCGCUCUACCUCUUCCUCAGGCUCCACCUCUACAGCACACCUCUCCACCUGCAGCGAGACUGGAGAGACAGACACACCACACAGACCUCUAGAUAGGGAGGCCAUGUUCCUGACCCCUGCACUGGGGCGGGAAAUCCCAUUCCUGGCCACACCCUUAGCCCCCAUCCUGUCCUCUACGCCGUGCAACAUAACCCCACAGGGCGGGGUCAGUGUCAGGAAGCGCAGGCGAUUGGCAGCCAGCCCCGGGGGACUACACUGGACCUCUACAGGCUCAGUGCAGCGGGACUUCGACAGAACAGAGCCAUCUCCCAUAUCAUCAGCCCAGGCCCCAGCCCCAGCACCGGCCCCGGGUGUGAGAAGCCUCCCCCUGGGUGAGACAGCAACAGCAGCGGGUGAGGGAGAGACAGCGGGUGAGCGGGCGGCUCUGAGGAAGACUGUAUCCGUUGACGACCGUCUGAUGCAGUCGGCGCCCAGAGAGCAGCAGCAGCACAGACUCCUCAGCAAGCUGGAGAGAGGCAAGAAGAAACUCAGGAACAUACAUGUGAGUACAGGACUGUGCAGAAAUGUAAUGUAAAUGUGUGUGUGUGUGUGUCGUGGUGGUGGUUGUGUGACUAAGAGAGAGUUUUGAGACCAUGGGACUAUAAGGUUCUAUCUGACAUUUUUGUCAUAAACGAGUUAGUCAUAUAUACAUGAUUUUUAGAUGGUUCUUCAUAUGUCUAUGAAGUUAGAUUUGAGAAAGUUCUCUCUGCAUAAACCCACUUGAUUUUGCGGCUAUAAGGUUCUAUCUGCAAGCCAGUCACAAGCCUGAGCAAAUACAAACGGACCAUUCGGAACACAUGUCUCUGCCAUCUCCCUCGAAGUAUGGUCUAGGUUAAUCUAGCCAGCAAUAAUGUCACG
rnacentral:lncRNA from 1 species